rnacentral:sRNA from 1 species
AGACAAGUCUGGCCACUUGAAACCUUGUCUCAAAAAAAAGUAAAUAACAAAAAAUAACAAUAACCACCACAACAAAAAAGGAUGUGGGAAUUCUUAAAGCUUCCUGGACUCGAGGAACAACUGAACUUGGUUUCCCAAAUGUCUCCCCACCCCACUCCUGCUCCUGAAAGCCCUUUGUACAGUGUAAAGAGCUGAGCAAACGUUUAGUUGUGUUACUUUCAGGGAAAUGGACAGGCUGCCCGUGCACCUUGGCAGAGAGCUGACCCCAUCUCUCACUGGUGGCCACAAUCGAACGGGACCUGAGCCUUGCCCAGGCUGCACAAUGGAGUUGGCCCUGAUAAGAAAGACACAGGUGAGCCUGCCCGGAGGGCGUGGGAGGAGAGAGCUGCCCAGCUCCUUGCAGGCUUCGGACUUUGACUGAGCUGCACAGUGGAGCUGGCUCUGGAGGCAAGUGUGCAGGUACUGAGACAGAUGCUUAUGCCACCAUCUGAUGCCAUUGAUGGUGACUUCCAACUUAUGGUCGUCCUGCCUCCACUUCAGGGUGUGUCUUCACAGCAGUUUAAGCACUCCUGGGGAAUCAAAGACAAGGCCUUUUGCAGAUCACACAUGCGCUCUACCAAUUGCUGUGCAUCCACAGCCACAUUCCGAUGUCUUAGGAAUUUUUUCCUGCAAUGCUACAUACAAAUGCAUGUGUUUUGUGUUCAUAUACAUUUUAGAUUUUACAAAUAUGGGACCAUAUUAUAUGUACAACUUGUGAAAGUCAUUCUAAUAAAUAAAUACUAAGUCCCUGCCAA